ACUAAAUCCACCUGCACAAGUGAAGCUCCAUAAGAACACAUUAGGGUUCUUUAUCGCUGAAUCUGCAAAGGAUGUCAAAAGAGCCUUCUUUUACUGUGCCAUCUGUCACAGUGAUGUGAAUACUCCAGAGCUAAUUGGAAAGUGUGGCUGCAAAAGCAAGAAUCAUCGGCACAUGGCAGGGCCAGCGGUCACGGUGACAGCAAACAACCUGAAGGAAUAUCCUGGCCCAACGAGACGGGACUCCAAUCCAGAGCCACAGCCAAACAUGUUGAGCAACUUGAGCCUUGCCACCAGGUAAGAGCCUCAGAGGACCCCGGUCCCCUGCGGUUU